rnacentral:rRNA from 1 species
CCUACGGGAGACAGCAGUGGGGAAUAUUGGGCAAUGGAGGCAACUCUGACCCAGCAACGCCGCGUGAAUGAUGAAGGUCUUCGGAUUGUAAAGUUCUUUUCUAAGGGAAGCAGAAAGUGACGGUACCUUAGGAAUGAGCCUCGGCUAACCACGUGCCAGCAGCCGCGGUAAUACGUAGGAGGCAAGUGUUACCCGGCAUGACUGGGCGGAAAGGGUGCGUAGGUGGUUUGACAAGUUAGUAGCGAAACUCCGGGGCUCAACUUCGGAACUACUACUAAAACUGUUUGACUUGAGUGCAGGAGAGGCAAGCGGAAUUCCUAGUGUAGCGGUGGAAUGCGUAGAUAUUAGGAGGAACACCAGUGGCGAAGGCGGAUUGCUGGACUGUAACUGACGCUGAGGCACGAAAGCGUGGGGAGCAAACAGGAUUAGAUACCCGAGUAGUC